AUGACACUGUUGGGUCUUCUGUACCUGGUGACUGUUCUUCCUGGUGUCCUGUCCCAGGUACAGCUUAAGGAGUCAGGACCUGGCCUGGUGAAGCCCUCUCAAACACUGUCCCUCACCUGCUCUGUCACUGGUUACUCCAUCACCACUGGUUAUAGCUGGCACUGGAUCAGACAGUCUCCAGGGGAAAAGCUGGAGUGGAUGGGGUACAUAAAUUAUGAUGGUAGCACCAACUACAACCCAUCCCUCAAGAGCCGUAUCUCCAUCACCAGAGAAACAUCCAAGAACCAGUUCUUCCUGCAGCUGAACUCUGUGACCACUGAAGACACAGCCACAUAUUACUGUGCAAGAGACACAGUGAGGGAAGUUCAGCAUGAGCACAGACACAAACCUCCCUGCAGAGGAGAAAUGGAGCUAAAUGUUGUGUUGAGAAGACCUCAGGGUGUAGAGUCUGUUACUUUGACAACUACAAUGUUAUCCUACUCAGAUAUCACUGGUGCCAGGGCAGUAGGAUUCCAACCUGGCAAUGUAAAAUGCCUGCUCAUGUCAUAA